ACUGAUAGCACGUACGUAAAUUAUUGAGCUGUUACGCAAUGUUUAAGGGAGUGUUUCGAUAAUACUUGGUGAAAUAAAGGUUGUAUUUACUAAGACCUUCUAUUAAGUUGUCAUGACGGUAUUUAAGAAUAACUUAAGGGGAUGUUUAUAAAUGUUUGCCAUGAUUUUGAAAAACUGAUUCUUAUAUUACCACAACGCAGAUGAGAUUUGAAGACCACGCCAAAGAAGAAUGACAUCGCGAAACAACGUAUUUCACAACGAUUUAAAUAACAAACAACGUGAAUAGCAUGGGACAUCACUGUGUUUACUCUCAAAGUGAACAAAUGGUUCUACUACUAAAAGAAGACCAAACGCAAGAAGUUUUCGAAGGACAACAAGUGACGAAACACUGGACAAAAUACUUGUGACGUUAAACACUAUAGAGUAGAUGCAGCCGUUCAACUAUUUGACAUGUGUAGAUAACGUAUUCGGAGUGAUACUUCCGAGGCUUAAGACAUCUAGGGGAACACGGCUAUAGUAAAUACCUCGUGAGCUUUAUGGCCAAUAGAAGAGACGCUGGAACAAAGAAAAAAAAUACAAAUAACAACGCAAAUAACAACAACGACGAUGAAUACAACGGAACCGAAAAUAGAUAACGCAAUAUGAACAGCGGAAAUCAGAUCAGAAACACCAAACGCACGCGUAUCGCCAAGGACGAGUUAACAAUCGGGUUAUUUUAAUCGUCACAGUGGCAGGGAGAGACCCGAUUCGCCUAUACAACUUGGAGACGGAUCGAUCGUUAUCUUCGCGGCGGCAGUAACCGGUCCGACUUCAAGCGACAGUACAUUCGCGGCGAGCAACAGAUUCAAUACUACAUCAGCGACACCGGACGUUCAACUACAAAACGAUAACUUCUUCAGAUUGUGCUGUGCUUGACGUCAUUUCGAUUGACAUUUAGAUUGUACAACAAUACCAACACGUAGUUAUUUCAGCAGAGACGUUUGGGGACAAAUCAAUCAAACCUGCCUCCCACUCAACCACAGCUUUUGACUGACGGUGAAACUACUAUAUUGCCUCUUCAUGGGCUUAAAAGAUGCUGAUGCUGAUGAUGCUGCUGAUGAGGAGGAAGAGAAGGAGAAGGAGGAGAAGAAGGAGGAGGAUGGCGUUCCUUCGAGUACGUAGCUGAAUGGUUGUCAAAACAAUUCGACGUUAUUACACAGGAUACUGAUAACGUUAUGUUUUUAAACCAUGUCAUAUGGAUUGUCUGAAAGUAUUUAUUUAAGCGAUUUGUUUUUCAACUUAAACAUUUAAUUGAUGUGAACAAACACUCCUACAAAUCAUAAACAGUCUAACUUGGAACAAGAGAAAUUAAUCUGAGUAUCGACAUUGUUCAAUGUUUUCAAAUAACAGUUCAUUCAUAUGACCAGGAGCUCAACACAAAGAAAUGUUUAUUAUUUAAUUUUUAAAACAAGCACAUGUAGAUUAAAUAAUAAAAGCAAAUACAUGCUCAUUUAUUUGUUGAAUAAUUAAAGCUAUACACACGGGCAAGACAAUGACAAUCAACUGUUAAUCAGAAUAUGCAUACAAAGUCACAUAUUAAGCAUUUACCAUAACCUCUUACAACCGACGACUUUUUAUCUGUCAUGUUCAUGACCAAUGUAAAAUCGGUACAAUAUUAUGCAUGAUUUUAUUUUGUACAACACAUAAAAUAGUUUAAAUUGUCUUGCAUUGUAUUGUCGGUUUAUCUGUUGACUUUGGCGAAGCAAUUCGCGAAAACACGCCGAUCGAUGUCUGUGUUCCAGACAAAGGCACUAUUAAAAUGCGCAAUAUAGUUGUCACAAUAUGCAAAAACGUGAAUAUACACGAGCAUCCUUUAAUAUAUGUUUAAUGCAGUACCGUUCUUUCAUUCUUUACGAUAUCAAAUUCGGACACUCAUCUUAAUUGUUCCAUUAUAUUAUUUGCGAAACAUGUACAACAUUUGCACAUUAUUGUCAAUAAUGAAUAUAAUGUCAAGAACAUAUUUAACUCUCACUGAAUUUAUUUAGAAAGCGUUAAGUGCUUUUCACAAUGAGUGCGUAAUACAACA